CAGAGGGGGACUGAGACACGGCCCCCACUCCUACGGGAGGCAGCAGCUAAGAAUAUUGCACAAUGGACGAAAGUCUGAUGCAGCGACACCGCGUGAGGGAUGACAGCUUUAGGGUUGUAAACCUCUUUUAUUAGGGAAUAGCAAGGAAGGUACCUAAUGAAUAAGCUACGGCUAACUACGUGCCAGCAGCCGCGGUAAUACGUAGGUAGCGAACGUUGUCCGGAAUCACUGGGCGUAAAGGGUCCGUAGGCGGUUUAAUAAGUCUCAUAUGAAAGCUCCAAGCUCAACUUGGAGAUGUUGUGAGAUACUGUUAGACUUGAGGCUGUUAGAGGCAAGUGGAAUUCCAGGUGUAGUGGUGAAAUGCGUAGAUAUCUGGAGGAACACCAGUGGCGAAAGCGACUUGCUGGGACAGUUCUGACGCUAAGGGACGAAAGCGUGGGGAGCAAACCGGAUUAGAUACCCGGGUAGUCCACGCUGUAAACGAUGAUUGCUAGGUUUUCGAGGCAUCGACCCCUCGUGAGCCGAAGUUAACGCGUUAAGCAAUCCGCCUGAGUAGUACGGCCGCAAGGCUAAAACUCAAAGAAAUUGACGGGGGACCGCACAAGCAGCGGAGCGUGUGGUUUAAUUCGAUGGUAAGCGAAGAACCUUACCUGGGUUUGACAUGUAAGUAGUACUGAACCGAAAGGGGAAGGACCCGCAAGGGAGCUUACACAGGUGUUGCAUGGUUGUCGUCAGCUCGUGCCGUGAGGUGUUGGGUUAAGUCCCGCAACGAGCGCAACCCUCUUCGUUAGUUACACUCUCUAACGAUACUGCCCCUAAAAGGGAGGAAGGUGGGGAUGACGUCAAAUCAUCAUGGCUCUUACACCCAGGGCUACACACACGCUACAAUGGCAAGUACAAACGGUCGCCAACCCGCGAGGGGGAG
rnacentral:rRNA from 1 species